rnacentral:rRNA from 1 species
GAAAAUGGUCAAGUAGGUGGAUUGGUACCUCAUCUUAUUGAUGGAGGUGUAUCCAUCCUUCAGUACGCUGAUGAUACAAUAAUGUUUAUGAAGCAUGACUUGGCCAAGGCGAGAAAUAUGAAGUUUGUGUUAUGCCUAUUUGAACAAUUGACCGAGUUAAAGAUUAACUUUCAUAAGAACGAGUUGUUCUGUUUUGGUAGGGCCAAAGACGAACAGGAUGCUUAUAGGCAAUUGUUUGGGUGUGAGUUGGGAGAGUUACCCUUCUCUUACCUGGGGAUUCCAAUCCACCAUCGUAGGCUGACAAACAGAGAGUGGAAGGUGCAUCGAGGACCGAUUUGA